GAGGCAUCAGCCGACCAGGCACUGAGAUCGUCCUGAACUGCCCUGAGCUUCUUGGAGAAAAUUCUGGUCGCUGUUAGAAGUGAGAAGGAUGGUUGGCCACCGAUUACGGAUUUUCCUGGUGCUCCUCGCGGUCGCCUUGAAUUACGUGACUUGCGACUACCUCUCAGAAUGCCCCGCACUAGCUGGACCGGGUUGCCUUUUUAAUGACACGAUACACCCCGACGGCUCCUACAUAAAGGACCAGUGUCUUCGUCUGCGCUGCGAUUCUGACACGUGGGUCGUUACAGGAGGCAUCGACUCAGACUGU